rnacentral:rRNA from 1 species
UCAGGGCUACACACGUGCUACAAUGGUCGACACAAAGGGCAGCAAGUCCGCGAGGAGGAGCGAAUCCCAAAAAGUCGAUCUAAGUUCGGAUUGCAGUCUGCAACUCGACUGCAUGAAGUCGGAAUCGCUAGUAAUUCGUGAAUCAGCCACGUCACGGUGNAUACGUUCCCGGGCCUUGUACACACCGCCCGUCACGCCAUGGAAGCCGGGAGUGCCCGAAGUCCGUGACCCAACCUCCGGGAGGGAGCGGCCGAAGGCAAGUUUGGUAACUGGGGCGAAGUCGUAACAAGGUAGCCGUAGGGGACACCUGCGGCUGGAUCACCUCCUUAAGCUUGGCAUCCCGAAGGGCGC